UUAAGAUGAAAAUGUAUUUAUAUUGUAACAUAUUUUCUUGAUGGAAUUUUUUUGAAUACUUUCAAUAAAAAAAAAUGUAAAAAAACAAAGCCUGAUCUCAUCUGACCUCGGAAGCAAAGUCGGGCCUGGUUAGUACUUGGUUGGGAGACUGACUGGGAAUACUAGGUGCUGUAAGCUUUUUAUUUGGAUCAGUGUUUUCAUGACCUCUGCACAACAUCCUCUAUGGGAAUUAAGAUUGGAUACAGGUUUGAAGGGGACCCAAUCAAUCAAUCAAUCAGUCAGUCAGUCAGUCUUUUGAUUACACUAUUUAAAUAGGCCCCAUUUGGGGUCAGCUUUCGCUUACGGCCAUACCACUCUGACAAAGCCUGAUCUCAUCUGACCUCGGAAGCAAAGCAGAGUUGGGCCUGGUUAGUACUUGGUUGGGAGACUGACUGGGAAUACUAGGUGCUGUAAGCUUUUAAUUUGGAUCAGUGUUUUCAUGACCUCUGCACAACCUCCUCUUUUGGGAUUAAGAUUGGAUACAGGUUUGAAGGGGACCCAAUCAAUCAAUCAAUCAAUCAUCAGUCAGUCAGUCAGUCUUUUGAUUACACUAUUUAAAUAGGCCCCAUUUGGGGUCAGCUUUCGCUUACGGCCAUACCACUCUGACAAAGCCUGAUCUCGUCUGACCUCGGAAGCAAAGCAGAGUUGGGCCUGGUUAGUACUUGGUUGGGAGACUGACUGGGAAUACUAGGUGCUGUAAGCUUUUAAUUUGGAUCAGUGUUUUCAUGACCUCUGCACAACAUCCUCUUUUGGGAUUAAGAUUGGAUACAGGUUUGAAGGGGACCCAAUCAAUCAAUCAAUCAAUCAGUCAGUCAGUCAGUCAGUCAGUCAGUCAGUCUGUCAGUCUGUCUGUCUGUCUGUCUUUUGAUUACACUAUUUAAAUAGGCCACGCCACGGGAGGCGACUUCGAGCCCUAACAAAAUCACUAGCCUCAAAACAGCCACACAGGCCCGCUUAAGCUUAGGGCCUGGCGCGUCUCCCGCAUUACACUGCGACGGGCUGGAAGACAGGCCUAACAGACACCACAUAGCGACAAAAAGAAAAUCUCAAUGGACACUGACGCCCCGGAGAAAAUUCCUCAUUAUCGGGGACUCCAAUCUGUCCAGAAUACCACCUUUUAAGAACCCCG
ensembl:lncRNA